rnacentral:misc_RNA from 1 species
CGUUUUCGUGAAAAUAUGCAAAUUGUUUAUAACCUAAAUGAUUGUGUACAAGUAAUGGAUGAACAGGAGAAAAAGCCCCAGAGGACUACUGCUAACCCUCAAACAGAACGAUGGGUUCUCCUUGAUUCUAAGUCUAAUCCUGGUCGCAAAUAUUAUUAUAACCCCUUAACAAAACAAACAUUAUGGCAUUACACUGAUGAAGAGAUAAACAAGAAAAAAAAGAAGAUAAAUGAUGGUAGUGAUCAGAUAAACAUUGCUAAAACUGCAACACAAUUUGACUUGUUAAAAAACAAUCAAACAUGUACUAAUGAAACCAGAGUAAUUAAUAGCAUGUAUCCCAUUACCCCUUUACCAUGGAAUUUGGCUAAUGUUCAGGCUCCCAUGCCAUUUAUUCAACCUACUACAAUACCUUUGAUUCAGCAAAAUCUACCCGCUGCUCUCAUAAAUAGUCAAUUUCUUGGUAAUCAAAUCAUAAGUCAGCCUACUCAAGCAGCACUUAUCAACUUACAAUCUGGCUCUCCAACAACUAUCAAUCAGAUGCAAAAUAUAACAAGAUUUGAACAGAAUUUUGAUAUUAACACAUAUCAAACAAAUAAACCCAAAAUAAAAUUUAAUAAAUGUGCCACUAAUCGUAGAAAGGAGUAUAAAUCUGAUCUGAGGAAUAAAUUGGAAAAAAAAAAUCACGCAAGACAUCAUAUUUAUAAAAAAAGAUAUAACAAAGAAGAAGUACAAGGAAAUGAAUCCUGGGAUGAAGAAACAGUGAAGAAUAUUUUGUUGUACCUAAAAUGUUAUAUUUCACCAAGCAAAGAACAAAACAUGUGGUACAUUGUACCUGAAACAAAUGUAAUAUUAAAACAUUCUCGAUUACUAACUCUAAUGACUGGAUUAGACUGCACAUGUCAUUUAAAAAUACCACUACUUGUGAGAAUGAAACUAAAACCUAUUGAAAAAAAACCUGGUAAUGAAGCAAUCAGUCGGUUAAUUCGUUUUUAUUGCACCGAAAAAGAGUCAGAUAUACACGCGGAAAAUACUGGUGACAACUUUUCAAAUAUAUUGAAUACCUGCCAUAACCUAAUAGACAACAAUUACCAUGUGGUACUAUUAUGUGAUAAUGAUAAAUCUUUCAUAGAAUUUAAGAAAAAAAUAAAUACUCCGGUAUUUACGGUUGAUAAAUUCUUAGAACUUCAGAGUCAAGGAAGACUCAUUCCACGCAAUCGGUUCACGUCAUCGGAGACUAUUACUAAAGAACCCUUUAGUAAUAAUGAACAAAACAAUAAAAAGACCAGUGAUUCUAUAAUUUCGGAGCAACCGGGUCUUAUAAAUAUUCAAAGUGUUCCAAUAUCUUGUGAUAAUGGCGAUUCAAGUACAUCCUCCAAAAGAAGAUUAAUAAAACUAAAGGCAUGUGAAGAAAUCCCCACUACUAGUCACUCCUCAAAGAGGAAAAGAUGGAGUGCGUUAAGAAAUAAAUGCCAAGAAUCAAGCUCUGCAAUAUUGCAACCCGUUUCUAAUAAUAAAGAUGCUGAUAGCAAUAUCCUUGAAAAUGUUCAAAAUACAUUAUCACAAACAGAAGUUGAUGAAAUUGAUAGUUCCAAAGUAGAAUUGCCUAAACAAAAAAAUGAACAUUGUGAAGUCCUAUCAACUAAUGAGACAAUUACCACUGUGGUUGAUGGAGUUUCUACAAGCAAUAUUACCCAUGAAAAUAUAUAUUCUGAUUAUGAAGACAAAUAUAAACCCCCGAGCAUUAAAAAAAUCCUGCAGACAAUGAUAAAUGUGUUGUUAAAAGUUUUAAACCAAAAUCCAAUAGAAAUUGAGAAGGAAAUGUCACAGCUACAGCGAUUACGUGAAGCCGUAUUAGACAUAAUUAAAAAUUUUAGUGAACAUUGGAUGAUUGUCGAUGCAGCUAACAAAUUAUCAAUGACAAUUACUCAAUACAUUAAAGGUAAUGUAGAAAUGGAUCAAAAAUUCCGUGAUGAUAUGAAUAGUUAUGGUGUAAAUUUACUUAAAUCACUUGAGGAAAAAUGUUGCUGUCCUGAGUACAUACAGCAUACAGUAAAAUUACUGGAGAAUAGUUGUGAUGACCGCAAAUCUAGUGAGGAUUGUUGCCACAUUACUUUAACUAGUGUAGUUAAAGACCAAGGUCAGGAAGUUACUACAGACAAUUACAUGAAAGGUGGAUCGGAUCCUAAAGUUUUAAGUGAAACAAUAAAACCCAAUGUUGAAAUUGUGUCAGCUGAAGAGAGUUCUAGUGGCAUUGAAAAAGGCAAUGACAAUAAUUGUCGUUUAAAUAAAAGUCAGUUGAAAGAGAACACUAAUCAAGAAGACUUAUUCAAAGCUCUUAAAUUACGGAAAAUAGAAAACGAUCUAACAGAAAAUGAUGAUGUUUCUGAUAUUUGCAUUGACAACGAAAAAACAGAAAGUAGAAAUAGUGAAAGAAACAAUACACGCCAGAACAAUGUCAAUGAAAAUGUUUGCAACGAGGUAUUCCAAGACAAAGCUGAGUCCAUGGAGACAGAAUGUAAAAAUAUUAAAUUGGGUGAGGAAAUUGGAGAGUUCGUAGAACUGUCUGAUGAAGGUGAAUCACGCCGAUUUAGAACAAACAAUAAAAGUAAAGGACAGUUCAAAUAUUUUAUUGGAAUGUUUGUAAAAGAAGUUAGAGAUGCCCUGUUAGUUUGUGCUGAGAACUUUCAAAUUUGUACAACAGAGCAAAAUGUCAACAAUGAUUUUAGUAGAAAAUUUGGACAAGUGCACACACACCUGCUUAAUAUGCAGCGGUCAUUAGAGAGCAUACUUCAACGCGACACCGGCGAUAUCAAUAACAAUUUCAAAAGUUUGCUAACUAGGGCUGGCGUCGAUAUUGAGUUCGAUCAGAAUGUGUGUGGUGAAUAUCGGGAAGUAGUACAAGAGUGCAAAAAUCAGGUGGAUGGAUUUUUAAAGUUAUUGGAAGAAAAGUUAUUCGAUCAAAGUUGUGAUGACCAUUUCCCAAGUCCCCAGUAUAUAUAGGUUAGAAAUAAUGUCAGUUAUACUCAUUUUGUCCUGUUGUGCUUAUUUGCACAAACUUGCACAGACCGCAUAAGAGUUGAGAGAAAUAUAUGGAGAGCAGAAAGUUCAAUAUCACGACGCACAGCGGAACUGCCUAGAUCGCCGCCCUAGCCGCAUUCUUGGGACAACAUCUACACUUAUAAAGAAGAGCGAAGAUAUGACGUAUAGACUUUACAGUGUACACAAACCAAUUAAUCUUAAUCGAACCGCGUGACAUAGUGGCAGCAAUGAUUGGGCUGCUUCAACGAUGUGAUAGCAUAAUAUAAUUAACGACCUGUAAUGAACAUAACAAGUUGCUUAGCCAAUGUCAGGUGUACAUUACAACUGAAUGAACGUUUGCUGAAAGGAAAUAAGAAAUUUGUGUUAUUCCAUUAAAACAUAUAAGCCCGCUAUGUGCUUAGAUAGUGCCUCGUACCUAUAUGUUUAAACAUUGACCUGCGUGGCUAUAAAUGGAAAACUUGAACGCACUUUUUUAAAUGAAUAGUUACAGACCUCAGACACUUUCGAGACAUAGCAGAAAGAUUAAAUUGCAUAACUUUACUACAGACAGUAAUUAGAUCAACUACAUAUAAUGCCAUUAUACUUUACAUGAAUUCUAGCUAUUCUUCCUUUAUUUAUGACUUGUCCAGGUCGUAAGAUAUAUGAUUCACAUAUUGGAUUCAAAUUGUUGUAAAUACAAUACAAUACAAAUGGAAAUCCAUCUAACGUGGUUUUUUAUUAAAUAGGUACAGUCAGUCACAAAAGUAGCUGAGUAAAUUCAAAAUUUUAAACGGCAUUUUAACUUUUGUGUCCUUAUCAACAAUUAUUUUUUUUCUUUAGUAAACUUCAAAUGGUUGGCUUUAUUUGAGGUAAAUAAAAUAGAAUAUUUCGAUUAAAUUUAAUAUGUAGAAGCCUUUUGAAGUUUUCUAAUUGUUCAGCUACUUUUGUGGCUGACUGUACAUAAAUUUACAUAGUAUCACGCCUUUUUACCUUGUCAGUGAUAGGCACAGGUGUAACCCACCAACAUUUCGACAGCUUUGUUCGGUUCCAUGUAAUAGGGGGGAACUUGUUACACAUUUACCGGACAGAAUUCCAGACAUUCCGGGCUGUUACUGAGUAGAAAAACUUAAUAUUUGCCCGAUCCGGGAUUUAAACCUGAGAACUCAAUGCAGUAAUUAUAUAGCGCACGAAAUACAACUAUGCCAUCGAAGCAGUGAUAUCAAUUUAAGUAAUAGAAAGAUACAAAUUAAUACGUUUUUAUUCAACUAGAAACUAAUAACUACAAUAAAAAAUAAGAUAUAGGUAGUGUAUAUAAUUUUAUACAUAUUUAAGAUAUGAUAAUGUACACACAGCAUCUAUCAUGUAUAUUAAUGUACAUUAUAUCACGGUAUGUAUAGCUUUACAUUAUCCUAAGGUAUCUUACACGCAGCAGUUAAUGUUAUGUAUCUUUUUCCUUCAUUCAAUAUACACCCAAGGUGUUGUUUUGCAUCCCCGCCAUGUUUGAAGAGUCCAUUGUAAUGGGUACACAUAAUCAUCUAAUAAUACAAUUUAAGUCCUAUCUUCAACGGGAAUCCGAAAUUAACUCCUACGUAGAUGUCUGAAUAGAACAUGUACGUUGGGGUUAAUCGAGGUUUAUCGAGAUGUAAAUGUAUAUAAUCGUACCGAUCUGUAUUUUAAUGCCUCAUUUCGACUAUAGGUUAAUAAUUCGUUAAUUGCACGAAUAUUACUAUAAAUAAUUAUGAGCAAUGAAUACGCCGUAAUUAGCUGUUUACACACUCGUAUUCGUGACUGUUCGCCUAUACUAUGCAUGUAUCUAAAUCAGGUGAAAGAUACGAACAUGUAAAAAUAUACAGGAUGAUUUUGACAUUGCGUUACUAAAUGAAACGAUACUUGCAGUAUUGAAAAUUACACUUACGUUAAGUUUCUAGAACCGUAGAUGUAAAAUAAAAAAGUAUAGAUGUCGAACAAAAUAGAAAUUAAUGAAAAGUAAUUUUACGCGCCCUAAUGCCACUAUUACUACUCUAGGGGUAUUCAUCGCUGCGGAAAAAUCACAUUUUCAGUCAAAAAUUACCCACGCACACACCAAUUUCGCACUAAUCUAGAAAAUGCUAAAAAAAUCAGAAAAGUAAAACUGGAAUUUUUGG